AGGCACCCUGGAGUUACCACUCUUAAAAGAGCUUUUUUUCCUGCAUUUCCCGUUACUAGAUACAGGGAAGUGAUAUUUUUUUGUUGUUACUGGAUUAUUCAGUUCUGAAAUUUGCAUAUGGUUUUUCUUUAUGCCUUCUGUUUCUGUACUAAGACUUUCUGUCUUUCCAUUCAGCAGUGAGUGUUUGACCUCAUUUGUUUCGUCAUUUUUAUAAUAGCUUCUCCAGUGUCUUUGAUAGGUCUAAAAUCUGUCUCAUGUUGUUGAUUAUCUUUUCCUAACUGAAUUAAGGCUUUUCCUGGUUUUUUAUAUGCUGAGUAAUUCUGGAUUAUAUUCCAGACAUUUUUAAUAUUAUGUUAUGAGUUUUUUAGUCUCUUUAAAUCCUAUGCAGAGGUUGAUACAUUUGUUGUAUUCAGUCAUUGUAUUAGAUCAUUGAUUCUGAUCAUUUAGGCAGCAAGUUCCAAUCCAUCUUCUUCUGGUUGUGGUUCCAGUGUCAGUUGAGUUUCCAAAGCCUGUGCACUGUUAUUUGAUCUGUUUCAUGUGUGCACCACCCAGUGGCCAGUGUGGAACUUGGACAGUGCUCUAUCCGGAAUUUAAGUCUCAGACUUUGUUGUGAUGUUUAAAUUCCAGUCCAUGAAUGUGCUGUUAAGAGGUAAACCCAGGAGUCAAAAAGAACUUUGCUGCACUCCUCCCUCCUCUCAUCGUCCAUAGUACUUUCCCUUUCCCUGGAGCUGCCAUUUUCACUUUCACUUACCAC